rnacentral:lncRNA from 1 species
GACAGUAGUAAGAUGGUAUCUCAGUGUAGGGGAAGCUGUAGCCUACUUAGGGGCUGGCUACAGGUGUGCCUGACCAUGCUUUCGAGGGCGUGGUCAGGGUGGCGUAGAGUGACUGCGUUUUCUCUUUCGGUUUCACUUUGGUACUUGCUGGACAGACUGCUGCCACGCCGGCUGGCUAGGUCGCUCUACAUAGGGAAGCGAGGGUUGUAGUCGUUUCAGUUGGGAGGCCAAAACCACUGAACAGAAAAAUAUGUUUAGAGGAGAGCAGCCAGCAAUGAGAGGAACCACAGCGAAGACCCACGGCGGCUUCUAGGUCCACAAAGCGAGGCGUUCUUUCCACCACUGUGCUGUGUUAGAAGAAUCCCGGGACCUCCAUGCUGGAGAAGUAGCCUUAUCCAGCCACGAAGUCAAUGUCAGUGCUGGAGGUGUCUGUUACUUCCUUAACCCACUGGGAAGUCAAUUCCAUGCUCUCUUAAAUCACUUGAAAAACAAUCUGAAGUCCUUAGACAGAUCUGAAACUGGCCUCUGUCACUCACAUCCCCCAACAGCAUGUCUGUCCUCUGGAGACCCACACAGGGGAAAAUGCAGAGUCCAAGAGGGCGUAGACAGAAGUAUUCAUAGCAAUUGCCAUGUUGUCCUCUUCUGGCAAAUAAUACUUCUGAUUCUCUUCAGCAUUCACGAUGCUUCCAGAUCCUCCAUUGUCAUGGCAAUCUGCCUGUGGUCACUUUCCAGACUCUCUUUUCUGCUGUGGCAGAGCCCCAGACACAGAUCCUUGGGAGAGCCGAGCUGAUGUGCUGGCAGAUGUCAGGACAAGCCCAGACCCAGAGUGGCAAAAAUCCACAUGCAGAUGUCACACCAGACAUUAGGCAUGGGGACACAUCCUUUCCCAUCGCUGAAGAUAAUCUUUAAGUGGCUGGCAAAUGCUAUGACAUAUGUACUGUGGGAACUUCAUGCUACUUAUCCAUGUAUGUAUCCCUGAAGAAUCUGAAUAUAAUUGGAAAUGAUUUCUUUUUCAUUCUGCACUGGGUGUGUAGUAAUUUCUCAAGAUCCUGUUGCUUGUCAGGAGGAAAAGUUGUGAUAAAAAGUGACUUAGUCAUUACCCUCAAGGGUAUUACACUGGAUAAUCUUCUAAGACCUACCUGGACCAGAUGGUCCUAAGCAGCUUUGG